CUUCUAGAGAAUCGACAGACACUGAGAACGAUCGCCCGUGGCAAACGUGAAAGACCUGAAUGUGGCUUCUAAAACUCAAAUACUACUACUGCUAGUGGCUGUGAUGAUUGCAAGCUAUGGUUUUACCAAC